CAAGUUAGUGGCGGACGGGUGAGUAACACGUGAGUAAUCUACCUAUUUGAGGGGGAUAACGUUUGGAAACGAACGAUAAUACCGCAUAACACAAUUUUAUCGCAUGGUAAGAUUGUCAAAGGAGCAAUCCGCAAAUAGAUGAGCUCGCGCCUGAUUAGCUAGUUGGAGGGGUAAUGGCCCACCAAGGCAACGAUCAGUAGCCGGACUGAGAGGUUGAACGGCCACAUUGGGACUGAGACACGGCCCAAACUCCUACGGGAGGCAGCAGUGGGGAAUAUUGCACAAUGGAGGAAACUCUGAUGCAGCGACGCCGCGUGAGGGAAGAAGGUUUUCGGAUUGUAAACCUCUGUCUUCGAGGACGAUAAUGACGGUACUCGAAGAGGAAGCACCGGCUAACUACGUGCCAGCAGCCGCGGUAAUACGUAGGGUGCAAGCGUUGUCCGGAAUUACUGGGUGUAAAGGGAGCGUAGGCGGGAAGGCAAGUUGGAUGUAUAAACUAUCGGCUCAACCGGUAGAGGCAUUCAAAACUGCUUUUCUUGAGUGA
rnacentral:rRNA from 1 species